AAUUGACCUUGGAUCGCCUCUGAUUGGCAUUGGAGGGCCUUUUGGAAGCUUAACUUGAGGAUUGGGGCCUUGUUGAGCUGAUUAUUGGGACUUCUUGUGACUGAUUGGAGCCUAGUAAUAGAGCCAUUUACAGGAGAGGUUAGGGAUCGUGGCAAG